CAAGUCGAACGCGAAAGUUCCCUUCGGGGAGCAAGUAGAGUGGCGCACGGGUGAGUAACACGUAGGUAAUCUACCUUUGGAUUGGGAAUAACACCGAGAAAUCGGUGCUAAUACCGAAUAAUGCAGCGGCACCUAAUGGUGACAGUUGUUAAAGCGGGGGAUCGCAAGACCUCGCGUCUAAAGAGGAGCCUGCGGCGGAUUAGCUAGUUGGUAAGGUAACGGCUUACCAAGGCGAUGAUCCGUAGCCGGCCUGAGAGGGCGGUCGGCCACACUGACACUGACAUACGGGUCAGACUCCUACGGGAGGCAGCAGUCGGGAAUUUUGGGCAAUGGGCGAAAGCCUGACCCAGCAACGCCGCGUGAAGGAUGAAAUCCCUCGGGAUGUAAACUUCGCAAGAACGGGAAGAAUAAGUCGGUGCUAACACCAUCGGCGAUGACGGUACUGUUUGUAAGCUCCGGCUAACUCCGUGCCAGCAGCCGCGGUAAUACGGGGGGAGCAAGCGUUGUUCGGAUUUACUGGGCGUAAAGGGCGCGUAGGCGGCCACCGCAAGUCGACUGUGAAAUCUCCGGGCUUAACUCGGAAAGGUCAGCCGAUACUGCGGGGCUAGAGUGCAGAAGGGGCAACUGGAAUUCUCGGUGUAGCGGUGAAAUGCGUAGAUAUCGAGAGGAACACCUGCGGCGAAGGCGGGUUGCUGGGCUGACACUGACGCUGAUUGUGCGAAAGCUAGGGGAGCGAACGGGAUUAGAUACCCCGGUAGUCCUAGCCUUAAACGAUGAAUGCUUGGUGUCUGGGGUUUUAUAGUCCCCGGGUGCCGUCGCUAACGCUUUAAGCAUUCCGCCUGGGGAGUACGG
rnacentral:rRNA from 1 species